CACAGAUCACCCACAGACAUGGCUGUGCCCACUCAGCUCCUGGGGUUGUUGCUGCUGUGGAUUACAGAUGCCAUAUGUGACAUCCAGAUGACACAGUCUCCAGCUUCCCUGUCUGCAUCUCUGGGAGAAACUGUCACCAUCGAAUGUCUAGCAAGUGAGGAUAUUUACAGUAAUUUAGCGUGGUAUCAGCAGAAGCCAGGGAAAUCUCCUCAGCUCCUGAUCUAUUAUGCAAAUAGCUUGAAUGAUGGCGUCCCAUCACGGUUCAGUGGCAGUGGAUCUGGCACACAGUAUUCUCUGAAGAUCAACAGCCUGCAAUCUGAAGAUGCCUCGAUUUAUUUCUGUCAACAGAAUUAUGAUAGUCCUCCCACAGUGAUUCAAGCCAUGACAUAA